rnacentral:rRNA from 1 species
AUUGAACGCUGGCGGCAGGCUUAACACAUGCAAGUCGAGCGGAGCGAGGGUGCUUGCACCUUAGCUUAGCGGCGGACGGGUGAGUAAUGCUUAGGAAUCUGCCUAUUAGUGGGGGACAACAUUCCGAAAGGAAUGCUAAUACCGCAUACGCCCUACGGGGGAAAGCAGGGGAUCUUCGGACCUUGCGCUAAUAGAUGAGCCUAAGUCGGAUUAGCUAGUUGGUGGGGUAAAGGCCUACCAAGGCGACGAUCUGUAGCGGGUCUGAGAGGAUGAUCCGCAACACUGGGACUGAGACACGGCCCAGACUCCUACGGGAGGCAGCAGUGGGGAAUAUUGGACAAUGGGCGGAAGCCUGAUCCAGCCAUGCCGCGUGUGUGAAGAAGGCCUUUUGGUUGUAAAGCACUUUAAGCGAGGAGGAGGCUACUUAGAUUAAUACUCUAGGAUAGUGGACGUUACUCGCAGAAUAAGCACCGGCUAACUCUGUGCCAGCCGCCGCAGUAA